rnacentral:rRNA from 1 species
UACGAAGGGGGCUAGCGUUGCUCGGAAUCACUGGGCGUAAAGCGCACGUAGGCGGCUUCUUAAGUCAGGGGUGAAAUCCUGGAGCUCAACUCCAGAACUGCCUUUGAUACUGAAGAUCUUGAGUUCGGGAGAGGUGAGUGGAACUGCGAGUGUAGAGGUGAAAUUCGUAGAUAUUCGCAAGAACACCAGUGGCGAAGGCGGCUCACUGGCCCGAUACUGACGCUGAGGCACGAAAGCGUGGGGAGCAACAGG